rnacentral:rRNA from 1 species
CACAUGGGUGAUCUACCCCGAGGUGAGGAAUACCGGCGAGAAAUCGCCGACAAGACCGCAUAGGGUUCUCCGGGGACGACUCGGAGAAGCAAAGUUGCGCAAGCGACGCCUGGGGAUGAGCCCGUGGCCGAUUAGCUAGUUGGUGGGGUAAGAGCCUACCAAGGCGACGAUCGGUAGCUGGUCUGAGAGGACGAGCAGCCACACUGGGACUGAGACACGGCCCAG